rnacentral:rRNA from 1 species
CAGCAGCCGCGGUAAUGCGUAGGGUGCAAGCGUUAAUCGGAAUUACUGGGCGUAAAGCGUGCGCAGGCGGUUUGUUAAGACAGAUGUGAAAUCCCCGGGCUCAACCUGGGAACUGCAUUUGUGACUGGCAAGCUAGAGUGUGGCAGAGGGGGGUGGAAUUCCGCGUGUAGCAGUGAAAUGCGUAGAUAUGCGGAGGAACACCGAUGGCGAAGGCAGCCCACUGGGCCAACACUGACGCUCAUGCACGAAAGCGUGGGGAGCAAACAGGAUUAGAUACCCCCGUAGUCCCUGUCUCUUAUAC